rnacentral:miRNA from 1 species
AACUAAGUUUGUUAUUGGUAUGAGCUUUCGUGUGCAUGCACACUUCUUCAGAUACACUUCUUCGGGUAUCUGAAGAAGUGUGCAUGCACACGAAAGCUCAUACCAAUAACAAACUUAGUUGG